CAAUUACAGGGGGAGGCUUUUGAACCGUGAGUCGUUCUGGAUCUUCAAAAUGGGGUCCACUGUACCAAGUGGACUUAAUCGGAAACACGACUUGAUGUUACAUUAUUGAAUUUUUGAUCCAUGAGCUGUGUGUGUUCUUUUGUUUU